UUUGUUUUAGUUUUAAGACCGUUUGUGUUAGUACAAUUGGAGUUUUGAUUAAAUUAAUUAAUUUUCAUUUUUAUAUACUAGUUUUAUUUUUCUUCCUCUGGCUGUAUUUGUUACAGAUCACUGAGCUACUUUGUUAACGUUUAUGCUUGUAAUUGUUGUGUUGAUAAACUAUCUAUGAACUUUGUUGGAUUGGUUGCUUGAUAUUAGUUUCUUGAGGUUAAUCUUUCCCUUGAUUUGUCAAUGAAAGCUCAGUCUCUGAUAUCUCAAUUUUGUGUAAUCUCAUUUGCCUUUAGUUGGUGCCUCUCAUUAAUCCCUAGCGUGCAUCUGAAUAUUUUUUAAUACGUGUUGAGUAUGAGAAUAAGUUCUUGCAUCUUUUCCUUGUUUAGUCUUUUGGCCUAGGUCUGCCAUGUGAGUCUGGAUUGUGUCUGUAACCUAAUGUGCUUCAGUAUACUAGAUAUGAUGUGUUAGCUUAUGCAUAUUUGCUAAUAUUCGUUGAGUUUUAUUGAAGUUUGAUGUCUCUUCCUGCCCCGAAUGUGCUUGUGUAUGACUUUAAUGUUACUAUGAAUAUUUGUUUGUCUUAAUUGAGUGAUGGUUUCUUCCAUCUGAAUAUGAGUAUAUUCUUCUUUUCCAUAUAUCAAGUUAUCUUAAGUCUACCAUUUGGUCCUGAUUUGUGUAUGAAAUAUGAUGUGCUUUGAUCUUCUUGAAUCUGAUGUGAAUGCCUAGUUUCUGUUACUUGUUGAAUUUGAGUGAACUUUGAAGUCUCUUCCUGCACUGGAUGAGCAUGUUGUGUGUGCUCAGUCUAUUUUGAUAAAUUAGUGAUUUUUCUCGAUUGAAAUGUUGUGUACUCCUAUUGCAUGUGGCAUUAGAUUUUAAACCUUAAUUUCUAUGCCUUGAUUAGAAAUUGUCAUAGAUAUUCCAAGUGCUCCUGAAUUAUGUCUGCUAUAUGGUGUGUUGGAUCUAUCUGAAUUUGAUUUGGUUGUGUUGUAUAUUUUCUAUUAAUUGUUGAAUUUAUUUGAAUUUUGAUCUCCCUUAUUGCACUGGACAAAUAUGAUGUGUGUUUUUAGCAUGUUUAGUAUUGGGCCAUUAUGCCUUGAUUAGAAAUUUGGUCUCAAUGUUUCCAUUUGAAUUUGCAUCGUAUCUCUAGCUUUUAAAUUUGAAUUAAGUUUUUUUUUUGUCUGUUCCUGUACUUGAUGGAGAUGUUAUGUGUGAUCAACAUGCACUCACACAUUAUUGCUUUCCUCAAGCAUGCGUUGUCAAAAAAAAAAUAACUCUCAAAAAAUAGUGUAUGCUUACAAUAUAAGUAUGAAGUAGAGGAGUAUGAUGAAGUGUGCCUUGUUGGUUCGUUUGGAUUUGUUGCAUUUUGCAAAAUAGUAUGGAGUUUACUCAAGUUGGAUUUGGUGCAGAAGGAACACGUGUAAAACAAGAUGUACCAACAUGUGGACUAUAACAUUUAAUCUCUUGGAAACAGACAUAUGAGAAUUGCAGUUGGUUCAGAUUUCGUCUAUCCAAGAUUCUCUCCACAAUAGAAGAUUUGGAAGUCAAGGAGAAGAGUUUAUUUGGAUGUUCUAGUGCAACAUGUGGAACACGGUUAUACAACAUCUGACUUUGACAACAGGCCAUGUUGAAUGUUGUUUGAUGCAUAUUUUUUGAUUGAUUUUUAAUAAGAUUUGAUGCAAUUAUUUUUAGUAAUGUUUGGUUAAUUUAUUUGAU
rnacentral:lncRNA from 1 species